CAAUAGCGUAUAUUAAAGUUGUUGCAGUUAAAAAGCUCGUAGUUGGAUUUCGGGGCAGCCUGGCUGGUCCGCCGCAAGGCGAGUACUGGGCAGCCGCCCUUCCUCUCGAAAGCCCCGACUGCUCUUCAUUGCAGUGGUCGGGUAGUUCGGGACGUUUACUUUGAAAAAAUUAGAGUGUUCAAGGCAGGCCUACGCCUGAAUACAUUAGCAUGGAAUAAUGGAAGAGGACCUCGGUCCUAUUUUGUUGGUUUCCAGGGCCGAAGUAAUGAUUAAGAGGGACAGUUGGGGGCAUUCGUAUUUAAUUGUCAGAGGUGAAAUUCUCGGAUUUAUGAAAGACGAACAACUGCGAAAGCAUUUGCCAAGGAUGUUUUCAUUAA
rnacentral:rRNA from 1 species